rnacentral:rRNA from 1 species
UGGGGAAUAUUGGACAAUGGGCGAAAGCCUGAUCCAGCCAUGCCGCGUGUGUGAAGAAGGUCUUCGGAUUGUAAAGCACUUUAAGUUGGGAGGAAGGGCAUUAACCUAAUACGUUAGUGUUUUGACGUUACCGACAGAAUAAGCACCGGCUAACUCUGUGCCAGCAGCCGCGGUAAUACAGAGGGUGCAAGCGUUAAUCGGAAUUACUGGGCGUAAAGCGCGCGUAGGUGGUUUGUUAAGUUGGAUGUGAAAUCCCCGGGCUCAACCUGGGAACUGCAUUCAAAACUGACUGACUAGUGUAUGGUAGAGGGUGGUGGAAUUUCCUGUGUAGCGGUGAAAUGCAUAGAUAUAGGAAGGAACACCAGUGGCGAAGGCGACCACCUGGACUAAUACUGACACUGAGGUGCGAAAGCGUGGGGAGCAAACA